rnacentral:rRNA from 1 species
UGGGGAAUUUUGGACAAUGGGCGAAAGCCUGAUCCAGCAAUGCCGCGUGUGUGAAGAAGGCCUUCGGGUUGUAAAGCACUUUUGUCCGGAAAGAAAUCCUUGGCUCUAAUACAGUCGGGGGAUGACGGUACCGGGAGAAUAAGCACCGGCUAACUACGUGCCAGCAGCCGCGGUAAUACGUAGGGUGCAAGCGUUAAUCGGAAUUACUGGGCGUAAAGCGUGCGCAGGCGGUUUGCUAAGACCGAUGUGAAAUCCCCGGGCUCAACCUGGGAACUGCAUUGGUGACUGGCAGGCUAGAGUAUGGCAGAGGGGGGUUAGAAUUCCACGUGUAGCAGUGAAAUGCGUAGAGAUGUGGAGGAAUACCGAUGGCGAAGGCAGCCCCCCUGGGGCCAAUACUGACGCUCAUGCACGAAAGCGUGGGGAGCAAAACAGGAUUAGAUACCCUGGUAGUCCACGCCCUAAACGAUGUCAACUAGUUGUUGGGGGAUUCAUUUUCCUUAGUAACGUAGCUAACGCGUGAAGUUGACCGCCUGGGGAGUACGGUCGCAAGAUUAAAACUCAAAGGAAUUGACGGGGUCAUAGCUGUUUCCU